GAUGAACGCUGGCGGCGUGCCUAAUACAUGCAAGUCGAGCGAACAGACGAGGAGCUUGCUCCUCUGACGUUAGCGGCGGACGGGUGAGUAACACGUGGAUAACCUACCUAUAAGACUGGGAUAACUUCGGGAAACCGGAGCUAAUACCGGAUAAUAUAUUGAACCGCAUGGUUCAAUAGUGAAAGACGGUUUUGCUGUCACUUAUAGAUGGAUCCGCGCCGCAUUAGCUAGUUGGUAAGGUAACGGCUUACCAAGGCGACGAUGCGUAGCCGACCUGAGAGGGGGAGCGGCAACACGGGAACGGAGACACGGACAAGAAGACUACGGGAGGAAGCAGUAGGGAAUGUUCCGCAAUGGGCGAAAGCAGGACGGAGCAACGCCGCGUGAGUGAUGAAGGUCUUCGGAUCGUAAAACUCUGUUAUUAGGGAAGAACAAAUGUGUAAGUAACUAUGCACGGCGUGACGGUACCUAAUCAGAAAGCCACGGCUAACUACGUG
rnacentral:rRNA from 1 species